UUCGGCAAACUAUGACAUAUAGUGUGCAUGCAGUUAUAUGACUAGAGACAAAAUCAUAGAAAAUAAGUACUCUCAGUUUGAAGUCUGACUGGAAAACUAGUCAUUCAAAUAAAGAAACACUCUGCAGCAAACUUAUGCUAGUUAACAUAAACUAGGGAAUAAUGAAUCUUUUGCAGGCCACGUCAAAACGCAAGUCCAUCUCGGACCUUAUCAAGCCCGACAUAUCCCAACAGACCAACUAAAC
rnacentral:lncRNA from 1 species